rnacentral:tRNA from 1 species
GCUCACUCGUAAUGAGCAGGUCAUCGGUUCGAAUCCGAUCGUUGGCUCCA